rnacentral:rRNA from 1 species
UACAGAGGUCCCAAGCGUUGUUCGGAUUCACUGGGCGUAAAGGGUGCGUAGGUGGUGAGGUAAGUCGGAUGUGGAAUCUCCGAGCUCAACUCGGAAAUGGCAUUGGAAACUACCUUGCUAGAGGGUUGGAGGGGGGACUGGAAUGCUUGGUGUAGCAGUGAAAUGCGUAGAUAUCUGGAGGAAUACCGGUGGCGAAGGCGGCAUCCUGGACCGACAUUGACGCUGAACGGCGAAAGCUAGGGGAGCAAACGGG